CAUUAUCUCUCAAGACUCCUAAACCAUUAAGGCCCAUUUGUUUUGGUGUAAGUGGAGUGAUGGAACUCAAGUUCCAUCACUUUCGUUAUUUGUUUUGAUAUAAGUGAAAAAUAUAAUGUAACUCAAGUUACGUUAGAGUUCCACUUUAUUUACUCUCGACUUCCUCCUCUAAAGUGCCGAACUCGACUUCCACUACACUCAACCUCCUCUAAAAAAUUUAUUAAACAGUAAAACCUAAAAUCUACUUCCUUUAUAAUGGGUUAGAAUUAUCUUAUUUAUAAUAAAUUAGAAUUAUCUUUAAAUAAUAAUAAUAAAAUUAAUUAUAUAAUAGAUUAAAUUUUAUAGUGGUAAAUUUACUACUAUAUUUAGGAGAUAAUGAGAUCCACUUACUUACAUCAAAACAAACAACGGAAUUCAAAAAACUAAUUUUAUCAGCGCCAAGUUAUAUCAAAACAAACAACAGAAGUGAUUGAAUUUAACUUUCAGACGGUACGAGUUACGUGACUUACGUCAAAACAAACAACAAAAAAAUAAUCAUGCUUUAGGAAAAUUCAAACACCACUACACUUAACUUACGUUGAAUCUACAAAUACGUCAAUCCAAACGCCCUUUUAGCCAAUGUGGAUUUGAUGGUAGAAUAGUAG
rnacentral:lncRNA from 1 species